rnacentral:rRNA from 1 species
AUGCCACAGUCGGUGUUCGCCCACCGCUCCCUCAGCCCCUUUUUCCCCAACGCCGAUGCGUGCCAUCUUGACGGCACGGAGCCGCUCACUGCACGCCGCGGCCUCCUUCUUGUUCGCCUCUCCCAGGGCAAAGCUGCUGGCUAUCAGUAUGGCAAGUCCGUUGUUCGUUUGGCUGUGUGCAAUCUGCUCGCCGGUGUGUGUGAAGUGCUUCCCCUGCUAUGUGGACAUUUGAACUUCACCAAAAGCGGCUACGCCAUCAUAACUAGUGCAGACUGCUCCUCGAGCGCAAAGCAACAGUCUUUGCAACCGGGCUACUCGACCUUCUUUAAAGUGCUAAUCAUCGGCUCGAUGAAAUUCGGCCCGCCCAGCCUCUAUACGUUCUCAUCCAGCGAGACAACUUACUCGGAAACCUAUGAGGACCCACAACUUGCGGUCACCGCUAAAGGGACGCCCUUGGUGUUACUUCUGUCAAGACCAGGCCUCCAGCUAAAGGUCUGCACGCGCCAAGAUGGAAGAAAGAGCGAGAAUGGUGCUAUUGCCAAGGCCACAUGGCUCACCACGCACAUUAUCGAGUUGAAACCACCUAGUCUGAUUAAAAGAAGGCCAGAGAAAAUAUACCUGAGAUUGUUAGGAGAGAAGAGUGGCACGAUGCUACUCAAGGAUAGCCAGAGGCAGAUUUACAUCGCUGAUCUUGAGACGGGAGUGAUGGAGCAAUUUGAGCUGCCCGAUGGUUUUGAUGGGCUUAACCGUCUGAAGGUCGUGUUGUUGGAGAUGGACUGGCAGGCACUAUUCGUUUCCCGUCUUGGCAAGUGGUAG